AAUAUUGGACAAUGGGGGGAACCCUGAUCCAGCCAUGCCGCGUGUGUGAAGAAGGCCUUAUGGUUGUAAAGCACUUUAAGCGAGGAGGAGGCUACUGAGACUAAUACUCUUGGAUAGUGGACGUUACUCGCAGAAUAAGCACCGGCUAACUCUGUGCCAGCAGCCGCGGUAAUACAGAGGGUGCGAGCGUUAAUCGGAUUUACUGGGCGUAAAGCGUGCGUAGGCGGCUUUUUAAGUCGGAUGUGAAAUCCCCGAGCUUAACUUGGGAAUUGCAUUCGAUACUGGGAAGCUAGAGUAUGGGAGAGGAUGGUAGAAUUCCAGGUGUAGCGGUGAAAUGCGUAGAGAUCUGGAGGAAUACCGAUGGCGAAGGCAGCCAUCUGGCCUAAUACUGACGCUGAGGUACGAAAGCAUGGGGAGCAA
rnacentral:rRNA from 1 species